CAAAACUACAAUCAUUUAUUUGUGUUUUCUACUUUAAUAUGUUUGCUUAAUUGGACCUACCCAUGUUUAGUUUAAUCUCUAUGAUGUUUGGUUUCUCAUUUAUUUACUUUUUCUAUAAUUCACCUCUGAUGAACAAAGGUUGAGUGUCCCUGUGUUCAGUUUAAUCCCUUCUAUCUCUCAUAUUUUUUUUUGUGUGUGUAAUUCACCUCUAAAUGGCUGAGUUUCCCUUUGUUCAGUUUAGAAUUAAUAUUAAGAGGUUAUUGAUUUUUUAAGCUCCAUUGUUUCAGACCUAGCAUUACGACACACCCCCCUCCAACAUCUCCUUCGCGAAUUAGAACCGAGCAUCCGACAUCACUCAGAUUUGAGAUAACCUUUUUAUUUAUUAACAUUUGAUUGUGAGAAAUUUGACCCAACCCGACCCAAAAAUUUUAGCGAUUGGUUUUGAAAGUUUUGAUCACCGAAAAAAGUGAACCCAUAGGAAAAAAAAUCCUGGAUCCGCCACUGGGCACGAAGUCAUAUUUCACAUUUCUAUAUAGUUUUUGAGUUAUGCAUACAAGUUGCUCGAUGAAUGCCGGACUAAUUUUUUAUUCACACUUGGAUUAACUGAUAUUGGAUUUUGGUAGGUUUUGAUGAUUGUUUAUUUUACAUCAAGAUUUCUAAUUUUGUUGUUUUUGUAUCAGCUUUGUUCUUUGUAGUUUAGUUGCUAAUUUUUGUGCAUAUAAGAAGACUAGAGGAACAUGGAACAUAGAAGUCAUGCCUUUUUGUGACUUUCAGAAAGUCAAAGCUGGUAUUCUCAUACCUUAGUUUGAUGCACAUAGAGUAAUUUUGUAAUCUUCAAAUUAUUUGGAUUCUAAUAAUUUUAUUAUAGUGGUUCGUAACUGAUUUGGGUCCAGAAGAUAUGUGAGUUCAACAUAUGAGAUCAUUUAGACAUCUGAAUUGGAGUCUUAUUUUUCUGUAUUAUCUCCUUUGUAUGUUUUUAGAUCUGCUUUACGGUCGAUGCAACCCUGUUGGGUGAACCAUUGUAUCUAUGUUUUACAGGUGACCAAAUAGGUAGGUCGGGCUGGUUGAAUAACAUGUUUGGGUCAACAUGAGUAAGCUUUCUCUAUCAGUUAAAAUGGGCGUGGUUGGCCUGAAAUAGUCUGUCCAGUCCAAAUUAAUUCUUCUUAUAGGCACUUAGUAUGUCGUAUAUGAUUACAAAAGUUUUAUUAUGUCAAUAAUAACCUACAGUUAGAAAUAAAAUGAUUUAAGUGGUUUAAUGCAUUAGAAAUACACUUUGGGAAAAUUUUGACCCGUUUAAUCCGUUUGGGCUUUUUCCUCUUUAACUUGUCUUUUUUUACCCAUUUGACCUGUUAGAGGUGAAACAUACACCGAAUCUACUCAUUAUCAUUUGUGUAGUAAUUUGCUAGAUUAACUGGAAUGCAUUUGUUCAAAAGCUUAUGUGACGCUACAGGUUUUUUACCCUAUACAUGACCGGACUUUUUACCAGAACGUUGAACAUAAAAGGAAGCUUAAAUAGGAAUUUGGUAUUUCUUUAACAAGCUUGUUUUUGAUUGCAUGUAAUGUAACAAAUUCAUCAAUCCUUUUAUGCUGAUUAGGAAUCGAACCAUGGACCUUCGUAUAGAUAUCACUGGUGUAUUUCAAACAUUAUUUGUUUGCUAAUAUAAUUUCCUCCUUUUACAGUCAUGCACCAAGGUUGAACUCAACUUUAUUUCACCUGAAAGUCUUGGCGAAUGCAUCCGCUUACAAACAGAAGUACAGAACUCUGUAUAUGCUUCCCAACAAUCAUAGGGCCAAACAACAAAAAUUAAACAUUGGGAAAAUGGUGAUUUAUGCAUUACACCACGUUGUAUCGGAAUUGUCGGGAUUUAUAGAUUCAAAUGGGCCCGCUGAUGAUCUUCAAAAUCAAUUCGCACAGGAGCUCGACAUAUUUUGGUGAUUUUCCCUUUAUUUAUUAAGUACUUCAGUUCAUUGGUGAAUUUGAUGAUUAUUUAUGUUGUUUUGUGGAUCAAAUCUAUGUCAUCAAAGCCCACUGUUACCGACGAAGACGAUUCGGGUACAAAAACGAAAGAGAGAAGAGGGCCAAUUCUGAUCGAUAAAUUCGCAUCUAAAAGGCCAGCGGUUGACCCUAUGAUCGCUCAAGCGGUUUUAGCACCACCUUAACCCGGAAAGGCCCCCACUCCUGGAAAAUUUAAAGACAAUUUCGUAAAGAAAAGCGGUGCAGCGGCGCGUAGGCCGAAAGCUAAAGACGACGACAAUGAAAUUCACGAUAACGAGACGUCCGAGCUUAACGUUGUGAUCCCGGGUGCAUAAAAGGGUAGAAAGUGGAGUAAAGCAAGUAGGAAAGCGGUUAGAAUGCGGUUAGCGCGUGAGGCUGAGCCCGUUAAGGUUGAACUCAUGGAAGUUGAUGAAGACGGUAUGUUAAUCGAUGAAUUAGCGUAUAAUCUAAUCUGGCGGUUAGUGAAGGUGAGAUUCUCGGCCAUCUUUACGCAAAGGGUAUUAAGCCUGACGGGGUGCAAAAAUUGGAUAAAGAAAUGGUGAAGAUGAUAUGUAGAGAGUAUGAUGUAGGAGUUAUUGAUGUGGGUCCGGCUAAAAUAGAGGAAAUGGCGAAAAAGAAAGAGAUUUUGGAUGAAGACGAUCUUGAUAAUUUACAACAUCGACCACCUGUUCUCACUAUCAUGGGUCAUGUUGAUCACGGAAAAGCAAGUGUUUUUUUUUACCACAACACUUUUGGAUUAUAUCCGGAAAAGCAAGUCAUAUUAAAUCUAGGGGUGCAAAAGGUUUUCCGGCAGCUGGCAAUACAUGUAGAGGCGUUAGAUUGAUUAAUUUGGACCAAGAACCACCGUGUGAAGUUGUUUCACUGUCUUCAAGAUUGCAGAUCUGCAGAUGGGUCAAGAUUUGAAUUUCGAAUUUGAGAAGUAUUGUGUGGUAGAUAGAAGCCUUAAAACUGUUUUUCGAUCGCCUAAGCAUUCGAAUAUCGAAAAAAAGGUUAGAAAGAUACCCAAGUCUUGAAACAAAGUGUUUGUAAAUGAGUAUUUUACAGAAGUUAGCUUCAAUCGUUAUCGUAGUGCUUCGUGUCGAUAUGUUCCAUUGAUUAACUUAGCAGCCAGUAUAGCGCCAAGGGGUUCUGUGUAUCAAAGGUCCAAAGAAUUGGGGAGACUUGGCAGAAUCAAGGAAAAUGAAACUGAAGGUAGGAAAAAAGAUGGCACUCAAGUUCUGUGCAUUUGCUUUUGGUUUCACGGUUACGUUGAUAUUAAUUUACAACUAGGUAGACCAACUAUAUGGCUAUUAACUUUUUUCCAAACGGUUUUAACUGUAAUAUGCAUGUGAAACUCCCUUUAA